UGCUGAGCACCGUCUCGAGGGUGCUCAGCACCAUCCCGAGGGUGCUCAGCACCGUCCCGAGGGUGCUCAGCAUCAUCCCGAGGGUGCAGGAUGAGUGCCGAGGGUGCUGAGCUCCCAUGGGCCGCAGCCUCAAAGCUUCCGCCAAUCCCGGCCCGCCUUGCUCUGCUCUGGCCAAUCACAGCCGCCCUUUGAAUCCGGGCGCGGUCCCGCCAAUCUCAGCUCGCUCAGUCGCGGCCCAGCGCCUCAGGCAGCCCGGCCCCGCUCCCCCGUUCUGCUGAGGCGCCGCUGCGGCCGCUGUCGCUUUGGGAUCUGGCGGAGCCGUGCUGCCGCAGCCCCGGCAGCCCCAGGCUGCAGUGAGAAGCAGGAGCAGCUUUUAGCCACCGGCAGUGGAAAGCUGAGGAGCUGGAACUGAGGAAGCAGAGCUGGAGGAGACACAAAUAUGGGCCAAAUACGAGUGGCAAAUCAACGUUGGCAUGGAUCUGCCGGAGGAGAGGAGUUUCUGGUGGGCUCCCAGUGACAUCUCAUGGAGUGACGGUGAGAGCAUCUCAUAGGGUCUGGGGGAGCACCUGGAUGCACUUGGACCUGGAGCACCGCUUAAAGGAGGUGGUGAGGGACAAAGCUUUUUGCCAGGAAGCAGCACCUGAACAGGUGAGCCAGUGUGGAUUUGCAGGGCUGAUCUUUCUCCAUUUCCCUUUUGAUUUCAUCUUGGCAGUCCCUUGCCGGGGCCCUGUCACAAGAAUUCCAAGAAAAAAAAAGGCUGAGCAAACACUGAAAAGAAGGGGUAUAGGUAAGGUGGAGUUCAGGUGUACCCCACCCCAAACCCUAAACUGCAGCCCUAACAGUACUGCCAUUUCCCUGAGGCAGCUGUAGGCAGGAACCCUAAAGCAGGUGAGUUCCAGAACCCUCGAGAGGUGCAGGCAGUACCCCUGGUGCUAGGGUCAGCCAGGAGAU